GGUUGAUCCUGCCAGCAAUCAUAUGCUUGUCUCAAAGAUUAAGCCAUGCAUGUCUAAGUAUAAGUGAUUAUACGGCGAAACUGCGAAUGGCUCAUUAUAUCAGUAAUAAUCUACUUGGUUGAAUAUUUUACUUGGAUAACUGUAGGAAUUCUAGAGCUAAUACAUGCAAAAAGUCUGUAGUGGGGCAACCUGCGAGAGACGUGUUUACUAGUCAACGAAAUCAUACUUCAUGCAAAUGAAGUUCUUAAGGUGAAUCACAGUAAGUUAACAUGAAUCGGGGGCUUUGCCACCG
rnacentral:rRNA from 1 species